GCUUACGGCCAUACCACCCUGAACGCGCCCGAUCUCGUCCGAUCUCUUUAAGCUAAGCAGGGUCGGGCCUGGUUAGUACUUGGAUGGGAGACCGCCUGGGAAUACCAGGUGCUGUAAGCC
rnacentral:rRNA from 15 species